rnacentral:lncRNA from 1 species
CAGAUGAGGCAAAGCACACUCUGAAGAGUGACAACUAUAGCUUCCAUAAGAAAGUUUUGGAGGCUCCUAAAAAUGACAGAUAAAUGAACUAACCUAAUCAGCAAAAUUAAACUAUAGGAAAGAGUAUGGACCUUGAAAAGACAGCUUAGCCAGCUUGACGACUAAAGCAACACCUUUCCAAGCAACAUUGGAAAUUUGACCUCCUCAUCAGAAAAAUGUGUAUAGACAUCUCUGGAGUCAGG